CUAUUCCUGUUCGCUGGUGGAGGCGAGAGGUCGCAAUGCUGAUAUCGCCUUCAUCAUUGAGAUGUUGGCCGAUCUAGAUCAGCAGCUGGAGGCUGAGAGACUUUUGCAGCAGUAGCCUCCAGCAAUAUUAACCGAGUGGGCGCAGUAAGAACGUGUUCCUAUGGAUGAGGAAGGAGACCUGGGGGUAUGUGUCGAGGCUGCAAGCCAAGCGCAACAGAUUUUGUCUUGUAGUGUCAGUGAGCAAGAUAAAUGGCCCCAAGGCGAGGGUGAAAUACCAGAGUCGGUACAAGAGUUGGCGGCUGCUGCAGAAG